rnacentral:lncRNA from 1 species
GAAUCGAACCCUCAGCCGGAGAGAGAAGAAGAAGGCCACUGACGGCGUCACCCUGACGGGCAUCAACCAGACAGGCGACCAGUCUCUGCCGAGUAAGCCCAGCAGCACCCUUAAUGUCCCGAGCAACCCCGCCCAGUCUGCGCAGUCACAGUCCAGCUACAACCCCUUCGAGGAUGAGGACGACACGGGCAGCACCGUCAGUGAGAAGGACGACACUAAGGCCAAAAAUGUGAGCAGCUACGAGAAGACCCAGAGCUAUCCCACCGACUGGUCAGACGAUGAGUCUAACAACCCCUUCUCCUCCACGGAUGCCAAUGGGGACUCGAAUCCAUUCGACGACGACGCCACCUCGGGGACGGAAGUGCGAGUCCGGGCCCUGUAUGACUAUGAGGGGCAGGAGCAUGAUGAGCUGAGCUUCAAGGCUGAGACGGGGUUUCACCAUAUUAUCCAGUCUGGUCUUGAACUCCUGAGCUCAAGUGAUCCUCCCGCCUCAGCCUCCCAAAGUGCUGGGAUCACAGGCAUGAGCCCCUGAGACUGCAAAUAAACCAUGCUUUAGAGAAGGUGUGUUUUGAUUGUGGUGCCAAAAAUCCCAGCUGGGCAAGCAUAACCUAUGGAGUGUUCCUUU